rnacentral:rRNA from 1 species
GACGAACGCUGGCGGCGUGCCUAAUACAUGCAAGUCGAACGCAGUGGGGACGGGUGAGUAACACGUGGGUAACCUCCCAUCAGAGGGGAUAACACUUGGAAACAGGUGCUAAACCCAUACUGUUGGCUGGACCCGCGGUGCAUUAGCUAGUUGGUGAGGUAACGGCUCACCAAGGCCACGAUGCAUAGCCGGCCUGAGAGGGUGAUCAGCCACACUGGGACUGAGACACGGCCCAGACUCCGACGGGAGGCAGCAGUAGGGAAUCUUCGGCAAUGGACGAAAGUCUGACCCAGCAACGCCGCGUGAGUGAAGAAGGUUUUCGGAUCGUAAAGCUCUGUUGGUAGGGAGGCGUUAUCUAACCAGGAAGCCACGGCUAACUACGUGCCAGCAGCCGCGGUAAUUC